UUAUCGGAGAGUUUGAUCCUGGCUCAGAACGAACGCUGGCGGCAGGCUUCAUACAUGCAAGUCGCGCGAUUAAGCUCACCUUCGGGUGAGGUAUAAAGCGGCGAACGGGUGAGUAACAGGUGGAUAAUCUGCCUCCCGGCGGGGGAUAACGGCUGGAAACGGCCGCUAAUACCGCGUACGGUUGCGGGGAUCUCGGUUCCUGCAAAGAAAGGCGCUUUCAAGCGUCGCCGGGAGAUGAGUCCGCCCCCCAUUAGCUUGUUGGCGGGAUAACAGCCCACCAAGGCUUCGAUGGGUAGCCGAGCUGAGAGGUUGAUCGGCCACACUGGGACUGAGACACGGCCCAGACACCUACGGGUGGCAGCAGUAGGGA
rnacentral:rRNA from 1 species